CAGCCGCCGCGGUAAUACCGGCCCCGCGAGUGGUCGGGGUGAUUAUUGGGCCUAAAGCGCCCGUAGCCGGCCCGGUAAGUCUCCCCUAAAAUCCCCGGGCUCAACCCGGGGAUUGGGGGAGAUACUGCCGGGCUAGGGGGCGGGAGAGGCCGAGGGUACUCCCGGGGUAGGGGCGAAAUCCGUUAAUCCCGGGAGGACCACCCGUGGCGAAGGCGCUCGGCUGGAACGCGCCCGACGGUGAGGGGCGAAAGCCGGGGGAGCGAACCGGAUUAGAUACCCGGGUAGUCCCGGCUGUAAACGAUGCGGGCUAGCUGUUGGGUGGGCUGAGAGCCCACCCAGUGGCGCAGGGAAGCCGUUAAGCCCGCCGCCUGGGGAGUACGGCCGCAAGGCUGAAACUUAAAGGAAUUGGCGGG
rnacentral:rRNA from 1 species